AUUGAACGCUGGCGGCAGGCCUAACACAUGCAAGUCGAGCGGAUGAAGGGAGCUUGCUCCUGGAUUCAGCGGCGGACGGGUGAGUAAUGCCUAGGAAUCUGCCUGGUAGUGGGGGAUAACGUCCGGAAACGGGCGCUAAUACUGCAUACGUCCUGCGGGAGAAAGAGGGGGAGCUUCGGACCGCACGCUAUCAGAUGAGCCUAGGUCGGAUUAGCUAGUUGGUGGGGUAAGGGCCUACCAAGGCGACUAUCCGCAACUGGUCUGAGAGGAUGAUCAGUCACAUUGGAGCGGAGACAGGGACAAGAGGACUACGGGACGCAGCAGAGGGGAAUAUUAGACAGUGGGCGAAAGCCUUAUACAGCCGUGCCGCGUGUGAGAAGAAGGUCUUCGGAUUGUAAAGCACGUUAAGUUGGGAGGAAGGGCAGUAAGUUAAUACCUUGCUGUUUUGACGGUACCAACAGAAUAAGCACCGGCUAACUUCGUG
rnacentral:rRNA from 1 species